CCUACGGGUGGCAGCAGUGGGGAAUAUUGCACAAUGGGGGAAACCCUGAUGCAGCGACGCCGCGUGAGUGAAGAAGUAUCUCGGUACGUAAAGCUCUAUCAGCAGGGAAGACAAUGACGGUACCUGACUAAGAAGCCCCGGCUAACUACGUGCCAGCAGCCGCGGUAAUACGUAGGGGGCAAGCGUUAUCCGGAUUUACUGGGUGUAAAGGGAGUGUAGACGGCAGCACAAGUCUGGAGUGAAAUCCCGGGGCUUAACCCCGGAACUGCUUUGGAAACUGUGCGGCUGGAGUGAAGGAGGGGUAAGCGGAAUUCCUAGUGUAGCGGUGAAAUGCGUAGAUAUUAGGAGGAACAGCGGUGGCGAAGGCGGCUUACUGGACUGUAACUGACGUUGAGGCUCGAAAGCGUGGGGAGCAAACAGGAUUAGAUACCCCGGUAGUC
rnacentral:rRNA from 1 species